rnacentral:tRNA from 1 species
GGGAAUGUGGUGGAAUUGGUAGACACGAUGGACUUAAAAUCCAUUGCUGGAAACAGCGUGGGGGUUCAAGUCCCCCCAUUCCCA